AGUUACUACCAUUCAGUUGAGGACUCUAAUGAGACUGCCAACGACAAGUUGGAGGAAGGUGGGGAUGACGUCAAAUCAUCAUGCCCUUUAUGACCUGGGCUACAAACGUACUACAAUGGCCAAUACAAAGAGAUGCGAAGCGGUGACGUGGAGCGAACCUCAGAAAGUUGGUCUCAGUUCAGAUUGAAGUCUGCAACUCGACUUCAUGAAGGCGGAAUCGCUAGUAAUCGCGGGUCAGCAGACCGCGGUGAAUACGUUCCCGGGUUU
rnacentral:rRNA from 1 species